rnacentral:rRNA from 1 species
CCUACGGGUGGCAGCAGUGGGGAAUAUUGCACAAUGGGGGAAACCCUGAUGCAGCGACGCCGCGUGAGUGAAGAAGUAUUUCGGUAUGUAAAGCUCUAUCAGCAGGGAAGAAAAUGACGGUACCUGAUGAAGAAGCCCCGGCCAACUACGUGCCAGCAGCCGCGGUAAUACGUAGGGGGCAAGCGUUAUCCGGAUUUACUGGGUGUAAAGGGAGCGUAGACGGCAGCACAAGUCUGGAGUGAAAUGCCGGGGCUUAACCCCGGAACUGCUUUGGAAACUGGGCAGCUAGAGUGUAGGAGAGGUAAGUGGAAUUCCUAGUGUAGCGGUGAAAUGCGUAGAUAUUAGGAGGAACACCAGUGGCGAAGGCGGCUUACUGGACUGUAACUGACGUUGAGGCUCGAAAGCGUGGGGAGCAAACAGGAUUAGAUACCCGAGUAGUC